rnacentral:misc_RNA from 1 species
CAGUACCUGAGGACUUGUGCACUGCACAAAUAUCACUAGAUGUGUUUCUCUCCAAAAACAUCAGCAGUUCCUUAUCAUCAACUGCUUUUGUAUUUGAAUGAAAUAUGUCAACAGCCAAGAUUCUCUUCUUAAGCUCCAAAUGUUUAACAAUUGCACCAGCUCCAAGGAGCGCAACUGAGGCCGAUGCAGCCGAUCCACCACUAAAUAGGCCUUUUUCCAAGCAUUCAUUCUGCAACAACUUGCUUUCAUAUUCUAGUGCACCAUUCACUUGACCUAAAACACUCUCCAUAUCACUGGAUGAAGCAUAUAACAGAACCUCAUUCUUACCAACAUUAACUUGAAUGCCAAUCCUUUCAUCCAUAUACUUAGUUCUAAUGCGUGAAACAAGGUUAUUGACACUAUUGUUAGAUUUUCCACAGAAUCUUUUCAAUAGCAUGCUCCCAAAACCUGUCAAAACUUUCUUUUCCAGCUUUUGGGCAUCCAUCUCCAGAAAAUUAAACAACGGGGAAGGACUAAGAGCAGAAAGAGAACUAAACUCAAAUGCAGUAACACAGACCAAAUACUCAUUAGCUGCAGAAAG